GAGCACACCCCCCUUUCUCUUCCUCCUUCUCUUCUUAUAGCCGCGGACGGUCGCCUGAUGCGGAAGGGAGAUGGCAGACGCGGUGAGGACGCGGGGAGGUCGAUCUUGGCGUGAUCCGGGCGCUGGGAGAAGCUGGAUGCGGUGAUCACGGGCGGAAGCUUCGUGGACGGCUGCUGGGCGGGGGAGGAGCGAUCUUGGCGUGAUCCGUGGAGGAGAUUGACACGGACGCGGUGGAUGCUGAUUCGGGAAGCGGUGAGAUGCGGUUCGAGAUCGCCGGAGAUUGGAUCACGGCUGGGGCUUCCUUCUUCGGAUGCUGGGAUUUCGGGCGUUGCUGGCACGGUGGCUGGCACGCGGAAGGACUUCCUUCUUUGGUUGCUGGUUUGGGAGCAGGAUCGACG
rnacentral:lncRNA from 1 species